ACUUUAUUAUUCAUCACAUUAAAUGUAACGUUUGGCCACAAAUUGAUAUGUAUAUGACCAAAUACAUGUGAGUCAGAGAAAAAUUCACAAAUUAAACUAUUAAGAGAUGUAUGUAAUUCAACAAUAGCAAUACUAUCAAUUUAUUUACCUACAUAGUAUUUUUCAAUCAACAACAUAUUUUGUAGUGUUAGAGAGUAGAUAAGAAAAGGGGAAAAAGAGAUUGAAAAUGAGAGUAAGAAAGGAAAUGGUAUGUGAUGUUUGUUGUGUGGUAAAGUUAAUAAAUACAAAAAUAAAUGAGUAUACCUAACAAUUAACAUGUUGUAAGGCCGUAUUAACUCCCCCGCUUCACGAUGUGACGAUUGGGGAAUCACACCCUCUCCUCGCCCUUCCGCCCUUUCGCCCUUUCGCCCUUUCGCCCAUUCCAAAAUUUUCCUUCACAAAAUCCAACAACCCAACAAUAUUUUAACGUAACUAAUUUUAUUUUAAUUAUUAUUCCUAUUAUGUGUAUUCAAUAUCUAACUAUUUUUUUUUUCUUUUAUACAAUUAACAUACCAAACUGUUGACCAACAAAACUGAAACCUCCAAAAUUUGUAAAUUGUGUAUAAAAAUUAUUUUACAAAUUUUGCAAAAUAUUGUUAUGGAAACCAAAAGCUUAUUUUCUAUAACCCCAUUUAUAAUAACUAUUUUGUUUGUUGUUUUUUUUAUUUGAAAAUUAAAUUUCUAAAACUCUUACUUCUCUCUCAAAUUUUUUUUUUUUAUACAUAUUGUCUACUUCCUAUAAUGUUCGCAAAAAUUUUAAAAAGUUCUGAAAAACUAAAAAAAAUAAAAAGAAAGAAUAGGUUUUUGAAAACAUGCUUUAUAAUUUUUAGAUUUUAAGAGCGAGCUCAAUUUCUUUUUUCUCUCAAGAAAACGCCUAAGAAAUGGGCAUAAAUUCCGACCUAUUAAAAGACCAUAAACUAAAACGAUUAAUAAAGUAACGUAUUCUAACCAAAAUUAAUAUAUCAACCGGAAGUAUUUAAAGCUAAAAAGUUUGAAACUUCAAUCAAAUUUAAGGUAACCAUUUAACCAA
rnacentral:lncRNA from 1 species